UAUCUGCAGUCGAGCGAAUGGAUUAAGAGCUUGCUCUUAUGAAGUUAGCGGCGGACGGGUGAGUAACACGUGGGUAACCUGCCCAUAAGACUGGGAUAACUCCGGGAAACCGGGGCUAAUACCGGAUAACAUUUUGAACCGCAUGGUUCGAAAUUGAAAGGCGGCUUCGGCUGUCACUUAUGGAUGGACCCGCGUCGCAUUAGCUAGUUGGUGAGGUAACGGCUCACCAAGGCAACGAUGCGUAGCCGACCUGAGAGGGUGAUCGGCCACACUGGGACUGAGACACGGCCCAGACUCCUACGGGAGGCAGCAGUAGGGAAUCUUCCGCAAUGGACGAAAGUCUGACGGAGCAACGCCGCGUGAGUGAUGAAGGCUUUCGGGUCGUAAAACUCUGUUGUUAGGGAAGAACAAGUGCUAGUUGAAUAAGCUGGCACCUUGACGGUACCUAACCAGAAAGCCACGGCUAACUACGUGCCAGCAGCCGCGGUAAUACGUAGGUGGCAAGCGUUAUCCGGAAUUAUUGGGCGUAAAGCGCGCGCAGGUGGUUUCUUAAGUCUGAUGUGAAAGCCCACGGCUCAACCGUGGAGGGUCAUUGGAAACUGGGAGACUUGAGUGCAGAAGAGGAAAGUGGAAUUCCAUGUGUAGCGGUGAAAUGCGUAGAGAUAUGGAGGAACACCAGUGGCGAAGGCGACUUUCUGGUCUGUAAACUGACACUGAAGCGCGAAAGCGUGGGGAGCAAAACAGGGAUU
rnacentral:rRNA from 1 species